CCAAGUGCAAACUUAACACGCCCUCGUGAAUGAGUUGGGAGGGCCAGCAAGAGGUACGCGGAAGGACUGUGCAAGGAACAACCGUGCAUAGACUCAACCAUCUCUUUCUACGAGAGAGGUUAGCUACCCGUUCACGAGAGUAGGGGCAGGCUGGCUGUUUAACUUAUUAGGAAAGUUCCCAGCGGGCCGCUGCCCUGGAAGCUGCGGGCAAUCAGGUGCCCACCAAGCCCAGCCCCAGCCUUGGAUCCAGCCAACAGGUAUCGGCUUGCCCAUCACCUCGUCCCAUGAUGGCUGGGUCUGAGCGGAGUGGACGCGAUGCGUGAGCCCGACAUCAUCGCUGCGUCGAGGCAGUAAGGCCUGGAGAGGGGAAUGUACGAGCAAAGGACUGCUGCAGAUCUGGUUACCUCCUCGGGUGUCACACGGCAAAAAUAGAAUCUGCAAGCACGCACGAGGCCACCUGGGAUGGGAGCUGGACACCUUCACAGCGAUUGGCCUUUAGUAUCCAGUGGGGCUUGGACAGGAUGACGUCUGGAUCACUUAACCUGCCUGGGUCAGACGCGCCAGCCUCCUGCUCGGCCACCCUGAACGGCACCAGGGCUGCCGACUUUUCAAGGAAUUGGAAGUCGCUCACAUGUAUUAAACAUAAGCCAAGAUUAAUGGCAGCAAAUACACCUAAACGACAUAAAUAAAAUAAA